GCAGCUGCUGUUUUAUAGAAUAAUCAAAGCAUUGUUUGUGCAUUACAUACAAAUUAUAUAAAAGCUCUUAUUCUCUUCAAAUAGAGCCUCCAUCUGCACAUCUUAGUAAAUAUUAAAUAGUCUUUUCAGUCUCUUCUCACUCACUACAGCAUGUCACUAUUCAUUUACUUUUAUCAAUAUUAGCUUUUUCAUGUUGAGUAUUCACUAAUCACUGCAAUGUUUGGCUGCUGAGGAGCCGCCUGCUGAGUUAGUAUUUGAUGAAAUCAUUCCAAAAUGAGAUAUCUACUUUGUUUAAAGUGUGACAUCUACUCAGACAAAAUUACCGUUUGCCUGCAAGAAAAAGUCACUGCUGAUUAUUGUUGAAACUUUGGCUAUUAUUACUUUGGCUUUAUCUAUUUACAGACACAAAAUUGAUUUUUCAGAUUUCAAUUUUAAACAUCAGUAAUAUGAUUUAUUUAAUUUGAAUGUUUUGUAAACCUCUUCAUCAUCACUGCAUAUACAGUAUGUAUUUACUUGCUUUAAGACUGCAAAAAGAGAUUGUUUGUCUAAAAUGGAAUUGUUGCAUAUAAUCAAAUUUUCAUUAUUUCACACCACCUCAGAACCUCCCACCGCUGAAGAGCCUGCAGAGGAAGAGUCUCCAGCUGCAGAUGAAGAUGACUCAAAACCCAAACCAAAGGCAUUUGCUCCGCCUAUAACUGUGCCAAAGAUACCAGAGGGAGAUAAAGUCGACUUUGACGACAUCCAAAAGAAGCGUCAGGAGAAGGAUCUGACAGAGCUGCAGUCUCUGAUCGAGGCCCACUUCAUUCAGAGGAAGAAGGACGAGGAGGAGCUCAUCGCUCUCGUUAACAGGAUUGAGAAGCGUCGUGCUGAGAGGGCUGAACAGCAGAGGAUCCGUGCCGAGCAGGAGAAGGAGAGGCAGGUUCGCGUUGCUGAAGAGAAGGAGAGGAAGGAGCUGGAGGAGGCACGUAAGAAGCUGGAUGAAGACGCCAAGAAGAAAAAAGCUCUGACAAACAUGACUCAGCAGUAUGGUGGCGUCCAACAGAGGCAAGAUGGCAAGAAGGGAGCUAAGAAGCAGACGGAGAGAGAGAAGAAGAAGAAGAUCCUGGCAGAGAGGAGGAAGCCUCUCAACAUUGACCAUCUCAAUGAGGACAAAUUGAAGGAGAAGGCCAAUGAGCUGUGGCAGUGGCUGCUGACACUGGAGGCUGAGAAGUUUGACCUUGGCGAGAAAUUGAAGAGACAGAAAUAUGAUUGUCUCAUCCCUCAGUUGUAGCUGUAAGGGACAUUUUGACUGCUCAUGAUGCAAGCACAACCAGAACGUCAUAAAAAAUAUUGUAGUUCUGAGCGUCUGUGGCCAACCCUUUGGGAUUUAGUUGACUGAUAGCUCAGUCAGGAAGACUAGAGAUCAAUCUGCUCCAGGCUCGCGUUCAGGACCACCAAAGCGCCAAAGGAAGAGGCAAGGGCAAGGGCAGGCUGAGAUAGAGGAGGACCUC